CAAAAACAUGGCUCCUUGUUUAAAGAAGAUAGGGAGUCGGACCUGCCCAGUGAAUUUUUUCAACGGCCGCGGUACUCUGACCGUGCAAAGGUAGCAUAAUCAUUUGCCUUAUAAUUGAAGGCUAGUAUGAAUGGUUUGACAAGAAUGUAGCUGUCUCUUUAUGAUUAAAUAAAAUUUUAUUUUCAGGUGAAGAAGCCUGUAUUGAAUUAAAAGACAAGAAGACCCUAUCGAGCUUGAAAAAAGUUAUCAGGUAGACAGUUAAUAUAUAUAAAAAACUAGCUGUUAAAAAUUUUAGUUGGGGUGACUAAGGAACAAAUAAAGCUUCCUUUAAAAACUUAAAACAUACAAGUUUUGAUCCAGAACAUUCUGAUUAAAGAAAUUAGUUACCGUAGGGAUAACAGCAUUAUCUUUUUUGAGAGCCCCUAUCGAAAAAAAGGUUUGUGACCUCGAUGUUGGACCAGAAUAUCCUAAAGAUGCAGCAGUCUUUAAGGGUUGGUCUGUUCGACCAUUAAAAUUCUACCUGA
rnacentral:rRNA from 1 species